GUGCUUGCUUCGGCAGUAUAUAUACUAAAAUUGGAACGAUACAGAAAAGAUUAGGAUGGCCCGUGCACAAGGACCACACACAAAUUCGUCAAGCGUUCCAUAUUUUU
rnacentral:snRNA from 1 species